rnacentral:rRNA from 1 species
AUUGAACGCUGGCGGCAUGCCUUACACAUGCAAGUCGAACGGCAGCGGGGGAGAAGCUUGCUUUUCCUGCCGGCGAGUGGCGAACGGGUGAGUAAUACAUCGGAACGUGCCCUGUAGUGGGGGAUAACUAGUCGAAAGAUUAGCUAAUACCGCAUACGACCUGAGGGUGAAAGUGGGGGACCGCAAGGCCUCAUGCUAUAGGAGCGGCCGAUGUCGGAGUAGCUAGUUGGUGGGGUAAAGGCCUACCAAGGCGACGAUCAGUAGCUGGUCUGAGAGGACGAUCAGCCACACUGGGACUGAGACACGGCCCAGACUCCUACGGGAGGCAGCAGUGGGGAAUUUUGGACAAUGGGCGAAAGCCUGAUCCAGCAAUGCCGCGUGUGUGAAGAAGGCCUUCGGGUUGUAAAGCACUUUUGUCCGGAAAGAAAUGGCUCUGGUUAAUACCUGGGGUCGAUGACGGUACCGGAAGAAUAAGGAACUACUAACUACGUGCCAGCAGCCGCCGUAA